ACUAGUUGUUCCGUCUCAGGUAUGAAUAAAUUUAUUAUUCGUUUGGUUCUUGUGGGUGUCUUUGUGGGUUUGGUUUUGGUUCUUCGAAGUUGUUUUAUAUAUGAGUUUUUAUAAUUACAUCUGUCAUCACAAUAUUGUAAGAAUCAUAUAUUAUACAUUAAGAUAACUAGGACUGAUACGAACGAGUAUAUAUUAUAAUUAGCGGGCGCACGUGUCGUCCACGUGAAAUUAUUUUUUGUACAAAUCCCUCGGGAACUAUGUAUUUUUCCGGGAAAAUAGCCUAUACGCUGCUCAAUGACCUCCUCUGUCUACCAGUCCCAUUUAAAGCGGUAUACACAGACAAGCAGACAGAUAAAAAGUUUAACAAGCUUGAUUAUGUUUAAAAUGUAGUGUUAUCGCCGCGUUGCAACGACUUAUGGUACGGACGGCUUCAGUGUACUCGUGGCGUUCGAGCCGUCCACAUCUCAUGUUUUGUAAUUCUUUAUGGGUUACUUGGGAUAGGCGGGGAGAGUGACUUGAGUGGAAAAGAGGAGUGUUUGUUAACAGUCAAAGGAUCUUUAACCCUACACACAACAACCACAAGUGCGUGACUUCACUCAAGGUCAUUCUCUGCCAUUCUAGGGUCUUAUUUUGGUUACAGUAUGAUUUGUUAAUUAAGUUGUCCUGACAAAUGUUGUGAAUCAUAACUUUUGUUCGACAUUAGUUUUCUUAUUUUUUUAAUCACCUCUGAGUCUGCUAAAAAUAGCUAUAAGCAUUUGAGAAACCAUUCGGUAGGUAAGGUUUAAUUAACCUUAAUUUGUCAGAACAUAAGUAUUAAGUCAAUGUUUGUGUGUGUACAUUAAUUUAUAUUUUAUGAAUCCAAUUAAGCUGUACAUACGACUAUACAUAUAAAGACUAUGUUGAGUUAAUAACAGUGCAACGUAAGUUUUCAAUAACAUUCAACACAAACAAAACCACUAUAAAGAUGAGGAAAGUUCUACUUUUCGUGCUGGUUCUGGCGGCGACAUCCCUGAGCAUGGCUGGAUAUGUGCAACUAUAUCGUUCUGCCGAUGACCAACAGUAUACAUCGUGGCCGAAGUUACCGGAAGGCCCGCCCGAUUUUUUAAUUAUUGAUAGAAUAGAUUAAUGCAAGCCUGCAAUAGUCAGAUGGACUUCAUUUUAUGAACGCUGAGAGUUUGUUAGUCUACGCUCCUACCAUAUAAGUACGGUAACCAAUUAUGGAGAACUGUGGUGACUUUGGAAGGUAUCGGGUAUGCAGGGUUCAGAUCCUUAACCGUCUAAAGUAUAAUUUUAAUAUUUUCUUCGGUAUGUAGAAAUUGAGUCUCUAGUCGCCAAUCAUUCAACUUUCCAGCAACCUUGUUUAACUCGUAAAAAAUGGUAAAUCCAUCUUCAUCUCAUGCUAGGUAGGCAGUGCUAUUUUACAUCUAUGAAGUGCACGUCACUGUUGGAGGCUGACACGAUUCCUUAUGACAUCUCGAAGAAAGUUUCAAAAGUUACCUACGUUUUACUCAUAGACAAUUGAGGAUGUGGACGCUUAAAAACCGCUACCUUCGAAAUUACCCUGAUGACAUCAUACUUGCUUGCCGUUUACAUCAUACUUAUCUAUUGCAGGAGCAUGGUCUGACAAACUUUUAUCAAAAUGAGGUACGAGUCUAUAUAUCUAUCGCUCUCGUCUAUAUAUCUGUUGCGUUAGAUAUCUAGUCCAGAACUACGUUAUCAACGGUAUUUGAAGCCGGUUCGAUCUGUGAUAUUUAUUCUUUCUGAUUUUGAUGUUUACUUUAUUUCAAAAUAACAAAAAAACAAAGAACUUACUUUCAAUAAAAAAUAUGGGUUUA